AAAACUUUCAACAACGGAUCUCUUGGUUCUGGCAUCGAUGAAGAACGCAGCGAAAUGCGAUAAGUAAUGUGAAUUGCAGAAUUCCGUGAAUCAUGGAAUCUUUGAACGCACAUUGCGCCCUUUGGUAUUCCAAAGGGCAUGCCUGUUCGAGCGUCAUU
rnacentral:rRNA from 1 species